UUGGUGAGCACUUAGGAGCAGGGGCUUCAGGACAGAGGGAAGUGACCGUGAGCCAGUGAAGGAGUUGGCAGGAGAAGGGUGGGGCCGGCUCCAGGCAGGAGGCCAGCUUGGGCAAGGCUCAGGGAAGGGGGGCGGUUCAGUAGGGCUGGGGCACCGAGGACCUGAUGCCCAGGAGUCGGAGGUGUAUGUGGCAGGGAGUUCCGGAUCCAGAUGCAGGGGACUGACACCAUCAGAGUUAUUUCCUGGAGGCAUGGCCCGAGGCCUGAGGCCUGGCCCUAGGAGGGGCAGGCCCCCAGGAAAGGGCAUCAGGGACCCAGAGCCCACAGGCCCUGCACUCCCCGGGGGAGACAAAGGUGAAAUGUCGAGAAGCCCUCUCCUAACUUAGGAUCGCCUCCCCGCUUCCUCUCCCUCUUUUUGGCCCACGUGGGCCAAGGACAUGGGAGCAUGAAAUGCAGCUGGGCUAGCCCACCUCCUCCUCUGGCUUAGCAAUCAGGGUCGGGGGAGUCUCCACCCCCGACGCCCUCUCCCCCAAAUGCCUUCUGCCAGCUCUGGCCGAGACAGGCUCCCUGGUUCCUUGGCGGCCGCCCCGACAUUCCACAGGAGCUGCUGGCCCCGGGCCGCAGGGAGCAGCCCCCCUUUCUCCUCGUCUGCUGACCCGGGCGCCCAGGCCUGGACAGAACCCCCAGAGCUGGGCCUGUCAUCGAGUUUGUGGAGCUGCGGCUGCCCUGGGAACUCAGUUCCUUCCUUCAGCCUGUCCACAAAUAUUUACCGAGAGCCUAACAGUGGACAGAGUGACCUUUAUAAUACACAGACUGGUCAACACAUUUACUGAGGUCGGCUACGUGGCAGGGACUGCGGGUCCAGUGGAUGACAAAACAGCGGGAAACCCCUCCCUUGAGGAACUCAAGUCCCACAGAGGACGGCUCACUGUGAAGCAGCUCCUGCAGGAAAUCGCCCAGGUCCUUUCCUGGGCUGGUUUGGAAACAACAGCGCUGGGCUGGUUUCAAAACAAGAUGAGGAGGCAGCCACGGCCAUGAGAAAGGGCUUGGGCCUCGGCCCUGGCCCUGCAAUCCGGAUGUUGCCCAAGGGGCCCUCUCCAGUCUUUCCUUCCCCUCCAACCCCCAGCCCCUGAGUGGAAGGAGCAUGCUUCAACCCCGCACUGGCUAGGGCGGGCCCAUCUCCAGCCAGCCCCAGCCCGGGAUCCAAGGUCCUGUUUACUGCUGUUUCCUGGAACAGCUUGUUUUGAUCUAGAUGAAAUCUGCUGAGUUCUGCUGCCCCGCCCUCCUCCUCCAGAGAGUGGAGCUAUGUUUAGCCUUAUUUGCAGAGAAAGAGGUGGAACCCAAGCCGGAUGUUUGUCCACCAUGCUGUGAGCGCUGCCUUGGCCCCCCUAAGGCAGGACAGAGAUGUCCGUGUGGCUUUCUACCCUCCUCUCAUCUUCCUCAAAUAUAUUCCCCUCCCCAAGAAAACUAGCUGUGUGGAACUCGGAGGCCAGGAGACCUUCUGUACAAGGCCCCUCUGAAACUGUGCCAUCUUGUCCUUGAAAAUGGAGUGGGUGGCCAGGGUGGCUCCACAUACAAGGCCACAAAUGAGGGCCUUAGUUCCUUUUGUGAUGAAGAAUCCUAUGAUCUGUAGAAUCCUGAUACUUUGUGUGGUGUUAAUUCCACCUACUCCUACUCUUUUGAAAAAUAAAAUCUAAGAUUGUUUCAGGGAUUUGGGAAUGAUACAUGUGAAGGAGGAAGAUUUUUAUACCAGAGAUAAGAGAAGACCAAGCUAAGGCACCAAGCUGGGCCCAGGAAACCGCACACGGCAGUUAACACCACCACUCAGGCAUCUUGUAGAUAAAUAAAGGGCUGACCCCAUAGCUUGGUACUGUGACACAGCAGCGAAGGCAUUUGCUGGGUAUCAGCCACAGCUCCCAGCUUUCUGGAACAUUCCCACAGGCAAUUCCCUCUUUCCACACUGUCCUUUCAGGCCAAGUCUCCCCCACCCAGCCCUGGGAACGUUGCCGGGACUAGAGUGAUGAGGCAGAUCUCGGCGAGGGUGAGCUGCCCCAAUCUUUCAGUGGCAGGAGAGCUCAGCCAGGCACCCAAUGGUGAACAAGUCUGGGCUUGCCACACACUGGACCUUCUGUGCUGAAGGUCCCAUGGGAGUCAUCAGUUUUCCGAGACUCACGAGGAGGGUGUGGCAGCUGGGCCCAGCCCCCCCGCAGAUGCCAUCUCGCAGGGGUAAGGGGAACAAUCUUCUCCAGUUUCCUCCCGGUUGCCAAGGGAGCCUGUGGCAUGGGUGGUUUUGUUUGGGGUGUGGGUGGCCGCCCUGGGAGACCUCCGGGCAGGGAGUUGGUCCAAGAAGCUCCUCAAUUCUAGUUACUCUGACCACUGUCAACGUUCCACCCUAUACCCCAGGGGGCCACGGCUGAACAGAGGCCGCAUAGGGGUCUCAGGCUGUGCCUCCUCCUCACUCUGGCCCCACUCCUGGCACAAGAGACGCCAACCACCCUUUUCAAAACCCUCCUCAAGCGCUCAGGCCUUGCCUGGCCUUGUGCAGGGGACAAGCUCACCCGGUUUGUUUCCCCCUUCCCUUGGAAGACGCAGGUUGGGGCCCCCCAGCAGUCAGCAAGCAGCUCCCUGAGGCCCAUCGCAGGCUGCAGACUGCCCUAAACAGAUUAAUUUUUUCAAAAAAAUCUCCUUUUUCCCCACCUCCCAAUCCAAAAGCCAAAUGGGUUGAAUAUCUAUGCCCUUUUGGACUUGUCGCCCUGCAAUUACAUAAACUGUUUUCUGCACAGACAAGAUCUUGCUUGUCAUUAUUCUGCAACUGCCUUUUUCCAUUUACUACAUCCUGACCAGUCACUAAGCAUUCCAUCCCGGCGGGGAUAGCUUUUCUUAUGAAAUGCUUCAAACCUCCAGGCCCCUGGUAACAAACCAUGACACACGCCCCUCAAGCGGCAACUUCGGGAGUUUAGCUUUUUAAUCAACUUGCUCCCAACCAUUUUUAAAACAACAAAAUCACAGCAGGGUUUCUUAACCAAAGACCCCGUCAGCACAGCAGCAGGUACAGAUCACUGGGGGCUGCCCGGGUGCCAGUGUGGGGACACGCCCUGCUUGCCCCAGGGGCGCCUGGGAGCUGACGUCACCGGCGCUCACGAGGCUGCGCCGCCGCCCGCGGAGUCACGCGCUGCCGCCCCGCCCCCGCCCCCGCCCCGCCCCGCCCCCGCCGCCUAGGGCAGUGACGCGCCCUCCGCAGAGAUCCCUCCGCCGCCGCCGCCUGGAACUUUCCAGUCGCCCUGCCGGCCCUUCUUUCGGACCUCGGCGGGGAGGGGUGACCUGAGGCGACCCCCGCAGUUCCCUUCGUCCCCACCGGGAGCGGCCCCAGCCCGCCUCCCCCACCCAGUCCCCUCUCGGGGACCGGUGUUCCCUCACCCCAACCCCCAGAAAAGGGCAUUUCUCCUCCACGGAAUCCGUCUCCCAAAUGUGACCUUGAGACUUGUCCUCGAUCUCCUGAAGCACGGCUGAGGGGGGUGGGGGUGGGGGGGGUGGUAACUGGGGCAGCUGAGGGGCGGACACCCCGGGAGACCGAGAACCACCUCGAGGCAUCUCCUUGGGCAGAGUCGGGAGGGACUUCUUUUCCGGUGGCAGUGGAGGAAUCGUCCCGUUGAGCAGUGCCCCGGUGAUGCGGCCCUGGCCUAUAAAAGCAAAAGUUGGUGGCAGCGCUCCCCUUUGGACUUUCCCUCUGGGUUCGGUGCUAGCCUCUUCUGUGAGCUCGCUCUGCCCCUCCUCCUCCCUUUAACUCUCUCCAGGUUAUCCCUUCACUUAAAACCUUGCUUCUGGUAACCUGGGAAGCCUGGGAAAGUUGCUGAAGUCCCUGUUGGAGUCGGUAUUGUUGGUAAUCGCAAGGAGGAAGGGCCUUCCCGCUGAGACUGGGGUGGGGCGGGUUGGUGUUGCUUGCUGGUGGAGAGGGUGGGGAUCGAGCCCACCCUUGGGUGGGCCCGCAGCUGUGGCUCCAGCCGAAAGUUACAAAAAUGCCUCAUGGACCGUGGUUUGUUAUAGUGUUCAUCAUGGCGACCAGAUGGCACCAGGAGAAAUGGAGCCCCUGGCCAGUGUGAGUCAUAGCAGUGCAGGAGGGGAGACCCUGGAGGAGAGAGCCCGCCUAAACGGAUGCCUGCAGAUUGACUUUCCAGAGGCUUAGGAGGAGGAAGUUUUCCAGUGUCGUGUUUCCAGGCCUUGCUCAGGAAGCCCUGUAUUCAGGAGGCCAUCACUUCGGGUUUUCAGAUGAGCUUGAGGGGGCAAUCUUAAGUCCAAAGCAGAUGCAUCCGGGGCAUCGGCAGAUGUGUUUGACUGUUUGAUCCAGGAGCACCAAUCUCCAGGCGCAUGAAUGCCAGCAGGCGCCUCUCCUCUCCUGGGGUGGAGGUUUUUCAGAUGCUGCAUCUAGGUUGAGCCUCCUGUCAUACUAGUUCUUCUGUGCUACGAACCUUGCUUCAAGAAGAUUCUUAAGCUGUAGGACGUUUCAAUGUGAUGCCACAACACCUUGUAGAUGGAGCUGGCAGAUGGAGCCCAGUGACCCUGUUACCUACCCUCCUACCUACCUGCCUGCCUGCCUGCCUGCCUGCCUGUGUGUUGGUCGGAGGAAUUCUUAGUGUGAUGAUGUCAUCUGUGUGGGAAGGUGUUCAAGUUUGAAAUGCCUGAGACAAAUACGUAGAUGAAGCAGACUGGCAAACUGGGAGGGGGGUCAUUGUUGUGCUAGAGUCUGGGAGGGUACAAGUUGGUCAUGUGCAAGUUCUGGUAGAAAUGGCAGGUCUAGUUUGGGUAUUCGGAUUGCGUUGUGGAUUUCUAAGAGAAGGGAAUGGUUAGGGUCCCAUAGUGAUCUUUGAUUCAUCUUGCUCUGUAUGUUUUUUGACUUGAAUUUCACCUGAUUAGAUUUCAGAAUAAUCUUGGCUUUCAAAGGGGAGGACCCUGAGGUGAGGGUUGUAGGUGAGGGGGAGGGCCCAGCUUGGCACUGGUACUGGGGAGGGGUGGUGGGGGUGAAGAAAGGGAGAGGGUUGGUUGGGUGUUUGUUGCAGAGGGUGGGGGUGGCAGGGAAUGUGGGUUGAAGGGGGAAUUCUCUGGAGAAAAGAUCAGUAGGCAGGGCUCUGAGGAGUUUAAUAGAGUUCAUGGGCAAAGAAAAUGCUGGUUAAUACUAGUAAAUUGCUAAUGCUAAUUGUUGCUUGGAAGCACAGAAAUUGCUUGGGAACUUUCUAAAGAGCUUACAACUCUUAAGUGCAAGGGAAAAAGCAAAAUUGUUUUGCUCUGCUGCAAGCUGGGGAAGUCUGAAUAUCAGUCACUUGAAAGAAGGGUGUCCAAACCUUGCAUCAGCAGGGGAUUAAGGUCCUUCACUGCUUUGCAAGCUUCUUAAGUGGUAUAUCUGAAGCUGAAUGUGUUCGAUAUUCAGGAGCAGUUAAGUCUUAGGAAAAAAACUUUAAAUGCCCAAAUUCUGGGCUUUUAAAGUGGUUUUUUUUUUUUUUUUGGUGUGCACUUAAGAGAUUAGAUGUACUUUUCUGGGUUUGUAACUCAUACUUGUUCACCAAGAUAUUUUGUGAUUGAAAUUUCUGAGCAAAGUGAAAAACAGUGAUCUCUAAAGGAAGUUUAUGUUACGUUGUGCCUUAUAAACACAUCUCGUCUUUGUGGUCAGUAUUAAUAACAGCAAAAGUUGCCUGCUGUCCUCUCUUCAUACUCAUUGUAACCAGGAGAACCGAGUAGCCUUUUGUGGUCACUGUAAACUUACUGUAAUAUUCGGUAGCAAACAAUCCACGUGCCCUUGCUAAGGCUGGAGUUAAUAACCAUUGUGUCUUUAGUUUGAAUGUUUGUGCCUUUUAAUGAUCCAGUAUUAGAGGGGAAACUGAGCGAAAAUCAGUUUGGGGAAUAAAAGCAAAACUGGGGUACGAGGGGGCCCUCACUAAAAGUGGUCUGUGUGUAAAAAUUAGGGGAAAGAUCUGAAAACCCUUCAUGAUAAUACUUGUUUGCGAGGUGCAUCUAUUGAAUUGGUAAAUAAAUAUCUGGGUUUUUAUCAUGUCCUUCACCUUACGUUCUACUUUAAAAACUUUAAAUCCACAAUACUUUUUGCCCUUGGGAUUUCUUUUUCUGUCUUCUGGGUUUUUUUUGUUGUUUUAAUGUUUAAAAAUAUGUUGGCAUCAUAGUUCCGUUCUUAACCUGUGACUUGGGCGUGGUAUAAUUACUGUCAUUGGCGUUUACAGAGUGUUAGUCAUGGGUGUGUGAGGAAAUAUGUUCUGGUACGCUGUUGUGAAAUUGAAACUAAAAGUAGAUGGUUAAAGUAAUUGUAUGUUCUGUACGGUAAGAACUGGUCGUGUUGCAUCAUGUACGUGAUUACUAAUCAUUUUUCUUCCCCUUUACAGCACAAAUAAAAGUUUGAGUUCUAAACUCA